CAGUCGCCGCGGUAAUACGUAGGGUGCAAGCGUUAAUCGGAAUUACUGGGCGUAAAGCGUGCGCAGGCGGUUUUGUAAGUCUGUCGUGAAAUCCCCGGGCUCAACCUGGGAAUGGCGAUGGAGACUGCAAGGCUAGAAUCUGGCAGAGGGGGGUAGAAUUCCACGUGUAGCAGUGAAAUGCGUAGAUAUGUGGAGGAACACCGAUGGCGAAGGCAGCCCCCUGGGCUAAGAUUGACGCUCAUGUACGAAAGCGUGGGGAGCAAACAGGAUUAGAUACCCCCGUAGUCCCUGUCUCUUAUAC
rnacentral:rRNA from 1 species